CUGCGAGGAAGGUGGGGGAUGACGUCAAAUCAGCACGGCCCUUACGUCCAGGGCUACACACGUGUUACAAUGGCCGGUACAGAGGGCAGCCACCCCGCGAGGGGGCGCGAAUCCCGAAAGCCGGUCCCAGUUCGGAUCGGAGUCUGCAACCCGACUCCGUGAAGCUGGAUUCGCUAGUAAUCGCGCAUCAGCCACGGCGCGGUGAAUACGUUCCCGGGCCUU
rnacentral:rRNA from 1 species